rnacentral:lncRNA from 1 species
UUAUGGAGUCAGGUUAACACAACCUUGUUGUAGUAUGCUUUCAAAAUAAUCCCUGCCUCAAUUAGGUCUUUUAAGAGUUGUGAAACAAAGGGAUAUAAGGCUCAAAAAAUAAUUUUAACCCACCCCUUCUUCUUGAUGAUCUCCAGUCCUAUGUUCAGUUAAUUCGAUACACGCACUCUACUUCCAAGAGGGUUUGAAGGUUUUAUGAGGACUUAAGAUGGAUUUCUCAAAAUGGCAAUCAACUUAUUU